rnacentral:rRNA from 1 species
UACGUAGGCAGCAAGCGUUGUUCGGAAUUACUGGGCGUAAGGAGUGUGUAGGCGGUGUUCUAAGUCUGGUGUGAAAUCUCCCGGCUCAACUGGGAGGGUGCGCUAGAAACUGGAAUGCUAGAGGAUGGGAGAGGUAAGCGGAAUUCCUGGUGUAGCGGUGAAAUGCGUAGAUAUCAGGAGGAACACCGGUGGCGAAGGCGGGUCUCUGGGCCGAUACUGACGCUGAGGAGCGAAAGCGUGGGGAGCGAACAGG